GAUAAAGAGGAGAGAGAAAAGAGAGAAAGCCCCACUGAAGCAUCAGGAUCAGCAUCUCAUUUCCUGUGUAUAUAACUUGACCUCCUUUCAUAAAUAAAGGAAGAGGGAGAAAGAGAGGGACUGAGAGGCCCUCCAAUUCCACGUGGAAGUGCACAGACAGUCACACAGACAGUUAGAGAAAGUCAGUUACAGACAGACAGAGUUACAGACAGACAGUUACACACUGAGUUAGACAGUCAGUUAGUCAGUCAGUUACAGCCACAGCGCCAAAAGUACAUUCCAAGCCUUCGCAGUGGGCCAAGUUUAAUGUGAACAUAAAAAAAGAGAAAGACAAGGCUAUUGGAAAGGACGGUGGAAUACGAGACAGUGAUGGAAUAACUCUGUGGUCCCUCCCAUUCUCUACCAGUACAGGGGCCAGCAGGCAGGUUGGAAUCUAAGAGUUUUGUGUGUGUGUGUGUGUGUCUCUGCACACAGGCUGUAGUCCUAGUAGUGAAAACAAAGACAUUGUUAUGGUGCGUUGGAUUGAGUUCCAGCCACAUCAACUUCCAAGAAAGGAAGGAUGGAAAAUGUGGGGCUCUGAGAAGAGAGAUCGGUGGUUCUCUUGGAUAAUGAAGCCCAGAUCAACAAAGACUAAGCAGCUUCUAAAUGGGGCUCUGAGAAGAGAGAUCGGUGGUUCUCUUGGAUAAGGAAGCCCAGAUCAACAAAGACUAAGCAGCUUCUAAAUGGGGCUCUGAGAAGAGAGAUCGGUGGUUCUCUUGGAUAAUGAAGCCCAGAUCAACCAGGACUAAGCAGCUUCUGUUUAUUUGUUUUGUUUUUGCCUCUGACAUACUUCAUCCAUGUUGCUUAUUCACUUCUUAUCUCAUCCUCCAGCUGUUUAGACAUUCCAGGGAGAGAGAAAGAGGGCGAGAGAAAGAAGAGAGCUCUGGGGCUCGAUCAUCUGAACCAGGGUGAAUUAGCAGUGUCCUCAGAGACGGUCGUCGUGGCAACCACCUCCCUCCUCCCAAAAUGAUGUGAUGAGGGUGAGGCUGAUGAGGGUCUGUUGACAGAGAUGUGAUGGAGAGAAAACAACCACAGGA